rnacentral:rRNA from 1 species
UACGUAGGGGGCGAGCGUUGUCCGGAUUUAUUGGGCGUAAAAGGCUUGUAGGUGGCCACGCCAAGUCGGAUGUGAAAUCUCCCGGCUCAACUGGGAGGGGUCAUUCGAUACUGGCGGGCUCGAGGCCGGUAGGGGGAGGUGGAAUUCCCGGUGUAGUGGUGGAAUGCGUAGAUAUCGGGAGGAACACCAGUGGCGAAGGCGGCUUCCUGGACCGGUUCUGACACUGAGGAGCGAAAGCGUGGGGAGCGAUCCGG